CGCCCUUAGUUGCCAUCAUUCAGUUGGGCACUCUAAGGGGACUGCCGGUGAUAAGCCGAGAGGAAGGUGGGGAUGACGUCAAGUCCUCAUGGCCCUUACGGGCUGGGCUACACACGUGCUACAAUGGUGGUGACAGUGGGCAGCGAGACCGCGAGGUCGAGCUAAUCUCCAAAAGCCAUCUACAGUUCGGAUUGCACUCUGCAACUCGAGUGCAUGAAGUUGGAAUCGCUAGUAAUCGCGGAUCAGCAUGCCGCGGUGAAUACGUUCCCGGGCCUU
rnacentral:rRNA from 1 species